rnacentral:rRNA from 1 species
AGUGGCGAACGGGUGAGUAACACGUGAGUAACCUGCCCUUAACUCUGGGAUAAGCCUUGGAAACGGGGUCUAAUACUGGAUAUUGACUUUUCCUCGCAUGGGGUUUGGUUGAAAGAUUUAUUGGUUUUGGAUGGACUCGCGGCCUAUCAGCUUGUUGGUGAGGUAAUGGCUCACCAAGGCGACGACGGGUAGCCGGCCUGAGAGGGUGACCGGCCACACUGGGACUGAGACACGGCCCAGACUCCUACGGGAGGCAGCAGUGGGGAAUAUUGCACAAUGGGCGAAAGCCUGAUGCAGCGACGCCGCGUGAGGGAUGACGGCCUUCGGGUUGUAAACCUCUUUCAGUAGGGAACAAGGCCAGCUUUUUGGUUGGUUGAGGGUACUUGCAGAAGAAGCGCCGGCUAACUACGUGCCAGCAGCCGCGGUAAUACGUAGGGCGCAAGCGUUAUCCGGAAUUAUUGGGCGUAAAGAGCUCGUAGGCGGUUUGUCGCGUCUGCCGUGAAAGUCCGGGGCUCAACUCCGGAUCUGCGGUGGGUACGGGCAGACUAGAGUGAUGUAGGGGAGACUGGAAUUCCUGGUGUAGCGGUGAAAUGCGCAGAUAUCAGGAGG